AAUUUUGCUUUCGGUGUUAGUCAUGAUGUCUGAGGUGAGGGACAUAGCUACCUACAUCUACUCCAACUGGACUAAAGUUGCCGUCACCUGCCACCUUGUAAACCAUGCCUCUUCACAGCAUUCACUUCUCAAGAAGAAAUGGAUUGGCCUUCUGCUGCGUUGUCGAUGCAAGCUGAUGAAGCAUUGGGAUGAGAAAAUAGGUCAGUGCACUAUGCUGGAGAUUUGCCCGAGAACAACCGUGCCUGUACUUCUCAGGCGUCUCCUCAACUUACCAGACCACAAGAGGAAGGUCAAUGUGCCUGCAGCAGUGAAGGUUUGCAUCAUGGAAGUUGUAAGAAGCACUAGAAAUAGAGACCUUAGCAAUGGCACAGCAUCUCUCCGCUGCCGGGGCCAAGUUGGUGAAAGGCUCCUCUGGGCUUGCAACAACAAGAGUGUGUCUUAUACCAUACUGACAUGGCACAUCGCCACAAUAAUCCUCGAGGUCAGGUACCCACACCGGCUUGAUCAACAACAAGGUUCCUCUUCUCCAAUUCCGAACACGGAUUAUAAGAUCGUUGCCACUCACCUAUCAAGGUACUGUGCUUACCUUGUGACAUGGUGCCCUGAGUUACUCCCUGAUGAUGAUGCAUGGAGCAGGAGCCUGUACGAGGAUGUCAAGAAGGAUGUUGAGCGUGUACUUGCCGGCUGCACAGCAGGAGACUCACUGACGCCAGAAGCAAAUUGCCAACAGCUGAUCGAAGUGCUGAGUGCAGAUGCGAAGCAUGAAGUGCUCAAGGAAGGCGCUAGGCUUGGAAAGCAGUUGUUGGCGCUGGUGGUCGAAGGUGAGGACGAUACGGCGUUGUGGAAGUUACUGGCUGAAUUUUGGUCGGAGAUGAUCGUGUAUGUCGCGCCAUCCGACAACCAAAAAGGUCAUUCGGAGGCCAUCGCCAGGGGUGGCGAGCUGAUAACUCUGCUCUGGGUGUUGCUCUUCCAUGCUGGGAUCCUCAGUAGGCCAGGUGAGGACGACGGCGUUGCUCCUACUUCUGUUGGCGUGGUUUAGUAGAGCCUCCUAUGUUUGGAACUACUGUUUCCUCCUUGUUUCGGAUUCUUCAUCGUGGUGCGUUGUCUGCAGUUGUUUGUGUAUGUUGAGUUCAUUUCAUAUACCAGAAUUUGUUAACUUGCGGCAGCAUGUGACUCCAUCUUGGUAAUCAGAUCAUCAAUUGUAACAAGUCUAUUUAGAGGUCCUAUAAUAUUGUCGAGACUCGAUAUUCAGAUGUAAUGUUACAUUAUUUCUACAUAUUGUAUUGUGAUCAAUAUAUAUGUUUUAAUUUGGUAUUGUAAUGAAGUGCUAGUAUAUUACACUAUUACUAAUUGGAGGCUCCUAAAUCCUCGCGAUGUGCUCUAGAAAAAUAGAUAAAUCUUAUAAAUUUCCACAAAAUUAAAAUCAGAAACAUCCAAGCGUCAAUCCACUAGACUCUAAUCAUAAUAGCCAUUGGAUCUAUUAUGUUUUCUAAAAAUUUAAUCACAUCCCUCAUUAUAAUAAUGGCCUCAUUAUAAUAAUAGUAUAAAGUAACUCCUAAUUCUAUAUCGAAAUUUUCCACCUCUAGCAUAGGUGGGUAAUUUAUAUGGUUGGCAUCAUAACUACACAUCCAGUUUGUAGCUGUGAAUCCAUUGAGCCGGUUAUGAUGCUGGAACACAACCAGUGGUCGAAGAUGGAACAAAUUUAGGAGUACGGAAUAAAUUGAAGGUCUGACAAAAUAAAAAAUUGAAAGUAACCAAAAAGAUAUCCUUUUCAUUAUAAUAGCACGAAACAGUGAAGGGCGGAAUAAAUUGCAAGCUCGAUGAUCAAACAUUUAGGAGAUAAUAGCUGCAGGUCCAGAGAUGAUCAAACAUUUAGGAAACAACACUUGAAAUGCACAACCACCGAUUGACCAAAACGAAAAGGAAAUUAAAAUGAAUGCCUAAUGAUUUGAUUUCAAAUAAAAAAUGCUAAAAUGAAAAUUUGCAAUCUGUACCUCUCAAUUCAGCCUUGCCCUUGCCCUUGGACUCCAUUUUAGCCUGUGCACUUCUGAUUCCCUGCGUUGUACGCUGCUUCUUGUAACACCAAUGGUGUUUACUAUAAAUUAAACCUUACUUAAGCACUAAUGAGGAGAAAUAAAAAGGAAAAGAGAAAAGAAAAGGAGACAUACAGAAAAGAAGACUUGGUCAAACAAGGUUGAAUUAGAGAGUUGACUAAGUCAACCAUGGUCAAAUUAAGUAAAAAAGGUGAAUUUGGAUCAAAUGUGACAAAUGGAGUGGAAUAAAUUCAAAUCCAGUUUGAAUUUUUAAAUUUAAACUUGAUUUGGAAAGAGGAGUCAAAUGUGGUCAAGUACCCAUGUUUGAGUGCUGUUUCAAAGGAUUUUAUAUAACAACUUUGGAAAAUAUUCUACUAAGAGUUUGAGUAUAAUGUGUAUAGAACACUUUGGACUUGAUUCGGUUCACAGAAAAUGGAAUUUGUGUAUUUUAAUUGAAGCACAAAGUUUUGAACUUUGUGCUGUUUGGAGACUUGGGCAGAUUCUCAAUUCAGUAUCUGUAACUGAAACUCAUAUUCAGUUCAUAAUCAAAUCUUCAGAACCCUUAAUCUCUCAAACCGUGGAUCCUUUGAACAAAGUUCAUAUCUAUCAUUUGUAUACCUAUGUUACAUCUACAUUUUUGUUUAUUGGUGCUUGAAGAGAUUGUGUUUGGUUUGGAUGAAUUUUUCUUAAGAAAGAAGGAAUAUUUCUGUGUACCAAAGCCAAAACAUACAGCGGUAAGGGUGCCUUUGGUUGGGCUUUCCAACCUACUUUUAAGUUAAAAGCUAACCAAAGGACCUAAAAGCCACAUAUGCUUUAGGUUAAAAGCUGCUUUUGCUCUAGGGUGUUUUUGAUUGGGCUGUGGCUUUUGGAAAAAGCUCCUGUGAGCUGUAGGCUGUAGAAAAGCAGUUGUGAGAAAGUAGCUGUGGGAAAAGCAGAAGACUGUUUGGUUACAGCAACUGUGAAACUGUAGGCUGUGUAAGAAAUACAUAUAAUGUCCCUAAAGGUCUGAGGGUCUGUUUAUAUGCAAAUUGUUCGUAACAAAAUAUUGGGUUCACCAAUUCUCAUAAAUGAGUAUUUUAGAACGAAAAAAAAUAAAAUUUAUAUGUUCUUCAUCCAUUUAAGUGAUUGGUCCACAUAAAUAGAACAAUAUUCAUCAAAAGACUUAUAUAAUGAUGCUAUCCCUCAACAUUACUAUCAUCUUCUCCCACUAACCAAAGCAUCAGCUAUCUUAGUACGAAUGGUAUUCAUGGUAUCCUCAUUCUCCACACGUUUCUCAUCUUCGGAUAUGACUUUUCUCAUCUUCGGAUAUGACUAUUUAUUGAUGAAAUAUUUUUUAUUUCCAUAACCAUAUCCAUUAGAGGGUCCCACUUGUCAUUCUCGGUGCCUAUCGUUUCUUUUUUUCUUUUUGCCUCGACAGUAUCUUCUAGCAUUGGACGAGCAUCAUCACCCAAGGUCAAUCCCAGGAUGGAGAGGAGCUCGAGCUUGCCUGGGCCAUAGCCGCCCAAUGCGAGCUUUGCCUGCACCAUGGCUGCCCAGCUCGAGCUUGCCAACGGCAUGGCCGCCCAGCUUGAAGACGAAGUACAGCACCUUGGUGCGCAGUAGGAAGUUGCGCUCGAUGACGAAGGCGAUGAGCGUGACGAGCCACUGGCUGAGGAGGUGGUCUUCUCGGCGGUGACCAUGACACAACACUUCCAGAUCUCCAGCCCCAAGAGGACGCGCCUCCGCAGGGGCUGCACGACGAUGCUGACGACGAGCCGCGCGAGGACGAGGAUGAGCACGGAGAGCUCAAGGCCGAGGCACGCCUGGCGGCGGCACCGUGCCGCGAAGGCGGGUCUCCGGGAGCCGUCACUGUUGCGGAAGAGGUCUAUUUUACAUCGCUAUUGGCUUGUUCAUUGUUAUUGAGGUUAUUAAUUGCUGGGUUACAAUCUAUGGUUCUGGUUUUUGUCGGACUAGCUACAGUAAGAUCGCAUCGAGUUCUGUCAGUGUACCUAUCAUAAGAUCCAGUAAAAUUCACUUGAAAAUUACACGUAAAUCGGUAAAUGUUCUGUAAUUUGUCAAAGAAGAAAAAGGAAGUUGUGUUACAGGAUAACGACUAUAAUCUUAUUGGGGCAAGAAAUUAGACAUGCGGAAUUUUUACCACAUAUUGUUUGUGCAUUUCAUUACAAAAAAAAGGCAUUGAUCAGCCCCAUCUAAACGUCUUAAAUAAAUGAAUGCAACACAUAGCGUUCAUCCGAUACUGUUGUAAUAUGUAUAUGCCAUCUUCUAAAUCUCAACUGAAAACUUGCAUCCCUAGCCAUUGCAAUAGCAACCUGUCUCUAUCAUCCUCAGUCAGUCAAGUAACAGACAUCAGGACACCACUCGCUGUCAUCUCAGUCGUAUGAUUCUAAAUUUCUAAUUAAUUACUUCCUCCAUCCCAAAAGACUAUUUGUUUAGUCUCCAAAACUUGUUCUAAAAAUAGUGUUUAUAUAACUUUCAGACCAUCCAACAAAGGUCUUUAUAAUACCUUCUGGCUCAGUGAACGAAUCGAUCAAUUACUCCAAUCAUCGAUGCCCGAUCUAGACUCGCUAAAUAAGGAAGGUUAAUAGAUCCGACAAUUACUGUAAGCGUGCAUGCAUAAUUAAUUAUACUCGGCAAUCCAUCCGAUUAAGAAGAGUUAUUAGGGGUGCUUUGAACUUCUAGUAUUUUUACUAUCUUGUCUAAAAUUUUCUAAAUGAACUGUCUUUGUAGGACGGAGGGAGUAGGCGUCUCUAGUUGUUGAAUUAUAUUUGUUUAUGAAAAAAGACAAUCACCCAGCAUAUAGUGCCUCCAUUUAUUUCGUACAGUGACAAAUAUUAUUUGCAUAACACAGCCUUUUAAUUUUCUGAUUCAUUCACCAAUUAUUAACCACUGUGCACGAACCGCCUAAUGACCCGGAUCAGCUCGUCCGAGGCCUCCCCGCACGGCUCCGUGACGAAGAAGGCGUGCCCCUGCCCCUCGAACACGACGAGCUCGACCUCCUUGCCGGCCGCCCUCAGCCUCGCGACGUACUCCCCGACGCGGUCGUGGAGCACGUCCUGGUCGGGGUCGAGGACGAGCACCGGCGGGAAGUCGCCGCCGAGGUCGCCGAACGGGACGCUCCCCCGCGCGAGCGGGUUCGCGAUCGGGUGGUCCUUGGUGGCGCCCGCCGGCAGCGCCAGGCGCCACAACUGGUCGAACAGCGCCAUGCCCAUGGGCUCGCCGGGCGGGGACGCCGCCUCGGACGGCGUCAGCUCCUCGCCGCCGAAGUAGGGCCAGAGCAUCACGCAGCCGGCGAGCCGGAGCGGGGUGAGUGGGAGCUCCCCGGACCCGUGGCGCACAGAGAUGUGGUGCGCGAUGUUGCCGCCGGCCGAGUCGCAGGUGACGAACACCCGGCGGAAGUCGGCCGACUCGACGAGCCACGGGUCGGCGCCGCCGCCGGCGGCGGCCUGGGAGCGGAGCCAGGAGAAGACGGACUCGGCGUCGUCGAGCGCGGCGGGGAGGCGGUGCUCUGGCGCGAGGCGGUAGUCGGCGGAGAGCACGACGGCGGGCAGCUCGGCGGCGAGGCGGAGCGCGCCGGCGUGGAAGUUGAUCACCUCGAAGCUGGCGACGCAGAAGCCGCCGCCGUGGAAGUACACGAGCACCGGCAGCUUCUUCUCCUCCACCCCGCCGCCAGCGCCGGCGGUGGAGAGCCGGUACAUGCGGAGCCGGAGGCCGUGCGCGCCGUCGUAGACGACGUCCUUCCACUCCACGGGCAGGUCCGGCGGCGGCACGCCGCCCACGAGCGGGAACACCGAAUAGUCCGUGGACCGCCUCACCGUGCCGUCGCUGAGCAGCUGGACGAGGCCGAGGCAGUCCUCGACGACAUGUGGCGCUGCCGCCGAGCUUGCUGGAACCGCCGACGACAUGACAAGUUGGCUACUGAACAGUGAACACGUACAGGAGUGUGACCGAGCAUUACGGCCGAUAAAUAGCCAGGCAUGGACUCGCAAGGAUGCCCUUGCCUUUAUUUCGUUGACUUGGACUGGACUACCGGACCCACCGGUCAGCGACACUAGGCUAGUCAGAGAGCCGUGCGUCGAUCAGCCGCCGUGGACUUCUCCUACCCGCGAAGUGAGAUUUUCCACACGUGAUAAGCACAAUCCGUGCCACGGAGGAUGACACGUCACUGUCUCCUCCGCGUGUCGAAUGCUCGUCGGUCACUGCAACGAAGAUAAGCUCAAAGCGUUCCCAUCAGAUCACGGCGGUUGGCAGUUGCUUGUCUGAUCAUGUGACCAUGUCUAGUUCCAACCUCGCGCUCAAUUCGGCUCACCAUUUUCGGUUUGAAAUCUAGCUAAAAUCAUCUUGACGUCCGUAGCUCGACGAAGAAGAAGGUGGUUCGAAGUCACUCUGCUCGUACUUUUUGUGUUGAAGUCUGUGCCGAAUGCCUUUAAGCUUUUUUGAAAAACGCAGGAAAGAAAUGGCCAGUGUCGUGCGCUUGUUGGAUUGAAAAGGAAGACACAUCGCGUUCGCAUAGCAGCUAGAAUCUAGACACUACGCUUUGGAUUGCUGCUUCUCAUCAGCAUGGAAGGCGACGCGCCGCCGCGCGUCGUCGAGGACUGCCGCGGCGCGCUCCGCGUGCUCAGCGACGGUACCGUCGUCCGGUCCACGCCGCCGAUCGCCGGCGACACCGAGGGCGUCCGCGCCGACCCGUCCGUCGAGUGGAAGGACACCGUCUACGACGCGGCGCAUGGCCUGGGCCUCCGCAUCUACAUGCCCGCCGCCGCGGCAGCCGCCGGCGGCCGGGACAUGAAGCUCCCCGUCGUGGUCUACUUCCACGGCGGCGGCUUCUGCAUCGGCUCCUACGCGUGGCCGAUCUUCCACGCGGCGUGCAGCCGACUCGCCGCCGGUCUUUCCGCUGUCCUCGUCUCCGCCGACUACCGCCUCGCCCCCGAGCACCGCCUCCCCGCCGCCAUCGACGACGCGGCCGCGGUCCUCCUCUGGCUCCGCGACAGCAUCGCCGCCGGUGCCGACCCCUGGCUCGCCGCCCACGCCGACGCGGGCAGAGUCCUCGUCGCCGGCGAGUCGGCGGGCGGCGUCCUCGCGCACCACAUGAACGUCCGCUUUUCCUCCGGCGCGCCGCUCCACCCCGUGCGGCUCCGCGGCUUCGUCCCGCUCAUGCCGUUCUUCACCGGCGGCGGCGAGCCGACGCCCUCCGAGCUGGCAUGCCCCGACGGCGCGUUCCUGAACCGCGACAUGUCGGGGCGGUACGUCCGGCUGUCGCUCCCCGCCGGCGCCACAGCGGACCACCCGUUCUUGAACCCGUUCUCGCCGGACGCGGCGCCGGGGCUGGACCGAGUUGACGUGGGGCCGACGCUGGUCGUCGUGGCCGGCGACGACAUGCUGCGGGACAGGAACGUGGAGUACGUGCGGAGGAUGGAGGAGAUGGGGAAGCCGGUGGAGGCCGUCGAGUUCCCGGGGCAGGGGCACGCCUUCUUCUCGCUCCGCCCGUGGAGCGAGCCGGUGGAGGAGAUGAUCCGGGUUGUGAAGCGGUUCAUGGACAAGGUCUGCUCGGGCUGAGCUGAGCGGUUACUGUAGAUGCACCGAGCUGCUACUUUGUGUUCUGAUUUUUCACUGCAAGCUGCAUAAAAUAAAGGGAGACUAAAUUUUAAAUCUCUAUUACUGGAUAUUUACAAUGUUGUCCAUAAAAACUUAGCUUCAAAUUUGGCCGGGCUUCAUGUUGCCGCCAUCGUGGGGUAUGGGCCUGAUUUCUACGCAUACUGGGCUGGGCCAACAUUUGGUGACCGGUGCUUUGUUUUGACCCAACAGAAGUCCCACCAACCUCAAAUUCAGAGGACCUAACAAUCCUCUCAAAAAUUUAGUAAUAAAUAUAUACAAUCUUCUAAAAUAGUAUUGAAAAAACACUCACGAAAACACACGCUUGCUCACUUGGACCAAGACGUCCUUUUAUAAUCGGACUAUUCAAUAUGAACUAGAGCAUUGAUCUCUCUGUUCAAUUGCUUUCUUUCAAGAGGACCAUAUGGUUAGAUGUGCAUUGCAUGCACACUGGUACAAAGAGUUAUCUUUGCUUCCUGUCACUCCAGAGCUCUGAAUAACAGAAUCCAUCCAAAACAAUCGAUCUGCUUUCUCCACACCCCCAUUGGAUACAUUAUUACUUUAUUAGUUUAUUAGUCCAUUAUUAGUCUAUCCAACGAUACAUUAUUACUUUAUCAGUCUAUCCCCCCAUACAUUAUUACUUUAUUAGUCCAUUAUUAGUCUAUCCAACGAUACAUUAUUAGUCAUUAUUAGUCUAUCCGCGCCUCCCACCUCCCUCGUAGCUGUCAAUGUACCAUUCUGGGGUGGUACUCACCAAUGUACCAAUAGUGGCAGGCCCAAUUUGCCGUGGACUGACUCGCAACUCAUCGUAGCUGUCAAUCUAACCCUCCUACCUACCAGGCGCCCCUCCCACCUCCCUCCUCUCCUGCUCACACGCGCCUCCCCUCCUUCCCCUCCUCACGCGCAGGCAGCCGUAUCGAACUGGCGUCAGUCAGCUAGAUCUCCACCUUACAGGUAAAAUAUUUCUGUGCAUUUCUGUUUUCUGUUUAGAAUUAAGCAGAGAUUGCAUGAUGCUAGUAAGCAGUCAUCCCAUAUGUUGAACACCUUAUAUGCCUUAGUUUCCAUUCCAGUGUGAUUAGUUCCUUAAUUUGUGUGCUUGUACCAACAACUUGCUCUAAUCUUGACAUAUGGGAAUUAAAUCAGCUGGCCCAUGGAUGGAGGGAAUUCCACCAUAGACUGCUCCUACUUUGCACUGAAGCAAUGCUCCGAAAGGAUUCCAUGCGAUGCCUCCUCAUUCGACAAGAGCAUGGGACAGAAGAUAUGGCUUAUGAACUCACUCCUGUUCAUCAGUGCCCUCCUGGCUGGAGUCAUAGUCGGGAUAGGCAUCUACGGCCAGCGCUACCGCCACCACCGCUUCACCAGGUUUAUCUUCCUCGGAGCCACGAUCCUGUUCUUGCCUGUCGUCUCCACUGUUGUCUCCAUGGGCGCCGGGAACAGUGUCUACAGAAUACAAGACGAAGAAAACGGCGGCACUCGGAUGAUUGCAGAGUGCGAACCAGGAGUAAACUCGGUCCGGGUUUUAAUAUGGGCAUUCCUUGUUCAGAUCAUCAUGAUCAAUACCAGUGCAGUAGUUGCUGUCGAUGAUAGAGAAGGUGGAAACGUAGGUCCUCCAUUUGAGCUGCUUGUUCAGAGUGUCUGGACCUUUUACCUUGGUAUCAGCAAUUCCAUUCUCUACUCCGGAUAUGACUGCCCUUGCAGCCACAUCUUUUGCUCUCACGAGUGCCAAAAUAGUAUUGAAAUAUUAUGCAUAUGGAAAGGCGCAACGAUCCUUUGCUCUCGGACGCAAUCCCCAUCUUAUUUUUGGAUACAUGAAGCAACAAUCGUUACAAGGAACAAGUCAGGAUGGUGAACCAAUGGUAGCUGAGGAUGCACCUCCCCCGCUGCUGGUUAUGGGAGAAGAGAAAAGACACGUGGAGAAGCAGCCUCUUGGGUAUGUGUUCAAGGAUGACUCAUGGACAACUUCGCAUAACAAUGGCCUGGUGACUAUUGAUAGAGUUUGGAGGAUGGAUAACGUGCUUCCAACAUCAACACUGAAACCACAAAAAGACUUAUGCUUGUCAUUUGCAUUGUUCAAGUUGUUGCGGUGCCGAUUUGCAAGGUACAAGGUCAGAACUGCUGCCUCCAAGGGCACCUUCAGUUUUUUCUGGAGCUUAUUGCUGAAGGAUGGCGAACAUGAUAGGGUGUUUUUGGUCAUUUCGGAUGAGCUUUCUUUCCUUCAUGAUUAUUAUUAUUCAUCCCUCCCGAUCUCCUAUUCCAAGUAUUGGUUGCCCGUUGCCGGUAUCUUGAUCUCACUACUGAGCAUAGCUUACUGUUGUUCAUUGAUGAUCACAAUAACGCUUUUGGUAGUCCUGCAGUAUGAUAAAUCCGAAUCUCAGAUGCAUUGCAAUGUUCAUUGCAUUCGAGGAGGUCUGAUGAGCCACGACAUGUCUAAAUAUUAUGGGAACUGGUACCUCAUUGUGGUGCCAGUAUUUUUUCUUUCGGUGUUAGUCAUGAUGUCUGAGGUGAGGGACUUAGCUACCUACAUCUACUCCAACUGGACUAAAGUUGCCGUCUCCUGCCACCUUGUAAACCAUGCCUCUUCGCAGCAUUCACUUCUCAAGAAGAAAUGGAUUGGCCUUCUGCUACGUCGUCGAUGCAAGCUGAUGAAGCAUUGGGAUGAGAAAAUAGG
rnacentral:lncRNA from 1 species